rnacentral:rRNA from 1 species
UACGUAGGGCGCGAGCGUUGUCCGGAAUUAUUGGGCGUAAAGAGCUCGUAGGCGGUCUGUCGCGUCUGCUGUGAAAACUCGGGGCUUAACCCCGGGCCUGCAGUGGGUACGGGCAGACUAGAGUGCGGUAGGGGAGACUGGAAUUCUCGGUGUAGCAGUGAAAUGCGUAGAUAUCGAGAGGAACACCAGUGGCGAAGGCGAGUCUCUGGACGACUCCUGACACUGAGGCACGAAAGCUGGGGGAGCAAACAGG